rnacentral:rRNA from 1 species
GANUUGAAGAGUUUGAUCAUGGCUCAGAUUGAACGCUGGCGGCAGGCCUAACACAUGCAAGUCGAGCGGUAGCACAGAGAGCUUGCUCUCGGGUGACGAGCGGCGGACGGGUGAGUAAUGUCUGGGAAACUGCCUGAUGGAGGGGGAUAACUACUGGAAACGGUAGCUAAUACCGCAUAAUGUCGCAAGACCAAAGUGGGGGACCUUCGGGCCUCAUGCCAUCAGAUGUGCCCAGAUGGGAUUAGCUAGUAGGUGGGGUAACGGCUCACCUAGGCGACGAUCCCUAGCUGGUCUGAGAGGAUGACCAGCCACACUGGAACUGAGACACGGUCCAGACUCCUACGGGAGGCAGCAGUGGGGAAUAUUGCACAAUGGGCGCAAGCCUGAUGCAGCCAUGCCGCGUGUGUGAAGAAGGCCUUCGGGUUGUAAAGCACUUUCAGCGGGGAGGAAGGCGUUAAGGUUAAUAACCUUGGCGAUUGACGUUACCCGCAGAAGAAGCACCGGCUAACUCCGUGCCAGCAGCCGCGGUAAUACGGAGGGUGCAAGCGUUAAUCGGAAUUACUGGGCGUAAAGCGCACGCAGGCGGUCUGUCAAGUCGGAUGUGAAAUCCCCGGGCUCAACCUGGGAACUGCAUUCGAAACUGGCAGGCUAGAGUCUUGUAGAGGGGGGUAGAAUUCCAGGUGUAGCGGUGAAAUGCGUAGAGAUCUGGAGGAAUACCGGUGGCGAAGGCGGCCCCCUGGACAAAGACUGACGCUCAGGUGCGAAAGCGUGGGGAGCAAACAGGAUUAGAUACCCUGGUAGUCCACGCCGUAAACGAUGUCGAUUUGGAGGUUGUGCCCUUGAGGCGUGGCUUCCGGAGCUAACGCGUUAAAUCGACCGCCUGGGGAGUACGGCCGCAAGGUUAAAACUCAAAUGAAUUGACGGGGGCCCGCACAAGCGGUGGAGCAUGUGGUUUAAUUCGAUGCAACGCGAAGAACCUUACCUGGUCUUGACAUCCACAGAACUUUCCAGAGAUGGAUUGGUGCCUUCGGGAACUGUGAGACAGGUGCUGCAUGGCUGUCGUCAGCUCGUGUUGUGAAAUGUUGGGUUAAGUCCCGCAACGAGCGCAACCCUUAUCCUUUGUUGCCAGCGGUUNGCGGUGGAGCAUGUGGUUUAAUUCGAUGCAACGCGAAGAACCUUACCUGGUCUUGACAUCCACAGAACUUUCCAGAGAUGGAUUGGUGCCUUCGGGAACUGUGAGACAGGUGCUGCAUGGCUGUCGUCAGCUCGUGUUGUGAAAUGUUGGGUUAAGUCCCGCAACGAGCGCAACCCUUAUCCUUUGUUGCCAGCGGUUCGGCCGGGAACUCAAAGGAGACUGCCAGUGAUAAACUGGAGGAAGGUGGGGAUGACGUCAAGUCAUCAUGGCCCUUACGACCAGGGCUACACACGUGCUACAAUGGCAUAUACAAAGAGAAGCGACCUCGCGAGAGCAAGCGGACCUCAUAAAGUAUGUCGUAGUCCGGAUUGGAGUCUGCAACUCGACUCCAUGAAGUCGGAAUCGCUAGUAAUCGUAGAUCAGAAUGCUACGGUGAAUACGUUCCCGGGCCUUGUACACACCGCCCGUCACACCAUGGGAGUGGGUUGCAAAAGAAGUAGGUAGCUUAACCUUCGGGAGGGCGCUUACCACUUUGUGAUUCAUGACUGGGGUGAAGUCGUAACAAGGUAACCGUAGGGGAACCUGCGGUUGGAUCACCUCCUUA